CGAUUCGGGAGCCGGGGCUCUGAAGCCUCCCGGCAGCGGAAGUGAAGCGGGAUUUCGCGGCGCGGUGGCCGUUGUGUGAGGCUCGCUGUGGGGUGGCUUCCCCGGUCCUCCUCUCCACGACUUCCCGUUCGUUCGUUUCCACACGCGCGGUGCUUGGCGCUCUGCCCGGCUCUGGGGAUGAGCCGACUGGGCUCAAUACCUAACUUGAAGGAGCUCGUUGUAUCCCGGGAAAAACAAAACCGGCCAGAGAAUACAAUACAGAGUGGUGUUCGUGGAAAAACAGGUGUUACUCCCGUUCGCAGGAGCGACUCAGAGUUACCUUGGAACCAAAAAUGUCGCCCCAAAUCUGCCUACGCUUCACCCUUCCACCCCGCUGCAGCACUUUCUGGGAAUUUUAAGAAACUUCCCCCGCCCCACGUGAAAUUUUGGUUUUCAAAAAUAGAACAGCGCAAAUCCUCCCUCUCCUUGCACGUGGUGCUUCCGGGCUCAAGUUAAACAGCACUGAAAGCACCGGCCAGUCUCCAGCUCAGCUGGAGGGUGGGGAGGUGGCUGGAGACAUGACCUUCCAGGCACUGAGGCUCUGUAGUGGGAGUCUUCGUGUUUCCACCUCAUGCUUCCAAAAAGACGGCCAAGGCCAGAGUCAGGGAAGAGUCAUGGAGAAGGGUGAAAACCCGAGACAGCCUGAGGAGGAGAGGCAGCUGACAUCCGCCCGGAUGAUGUGUCUACCGAGAAGCACUUCCUGCGCUGAGCACUCUGAUUUGGGAGCACUGAGGAGGGAGACAAGCAUCCAGGGGUAGGACUGGGCAGGGAGGCACAGAAUAAGCUGCGAUGAAUCAUCACCCUGUCCUGUGCCUCCGUCUCCCCCUUGAGCCUUCCCACGAGAUCCCUUCCCGGAGGAACCUACCAAAAGGCUGGGUAGAGCCUGCCGACGACGCAGCCAGCGGAGGCCAGGGUGCUGCGAGGAACAGACGGGGAGGCCUCAGAGGGGCUCCCCACUGAGGAUGCCUAGCUGCCCUGGGUGGCGAGUCUCCAACUUCCCAGACGUCCUUGUUAGCCUCAUGUUUUGUAACGUCCUCCUUCCUAUCCUAAAAUGAAAUUCCCAGGUAAUUUAACCUGUUUGGCCACAUGACUUUAAAAUAAUCAUUAUAAUGCCCUAACUGUAAUAAA